UCAUUAUUUAUUUCAUUAUAGGUGGAUGUAGAAGUUUCGGUCACUCCUGCUAUGGUGGAAUAGGAAAAAGAAAUCCAGGAUUACUGAAUGCGUCUAAUAAUUUUGAGAAACCUGAAUAUAUCUUACCUUCUGCAUGGGGCCCAUUUAGAUCCAAUCAACUUCAAAUACGAAAUCCGCCAAAAAUGGGACAACUUUCUGCAAUCAUCGCCCAAUGGAUAAGUAACUUCAAAGAAGCUCAAAAUAUGCCCAGGACAUCAACUGCAUAAGUUAUGGGUGUUACUGAAAAUAAAUGUUCACAAACCAUAUCCAGACAUAACAAUAAAAGGACAGGAAAACUCCCGAAAUUAUUUCGUGAAUAUCUGUUAUGACCCAAAUAUAUAUUAUAUGAGUUAUGAAUAAAUUUAUUUGGUAGUGUUUUCAUAA